rnacentral:tRNA from 1 species
GAGGGUAUAGCUCAGUGACAGAGCAGUGCUUAGCACACAUGAGGUCCUGGGUUCAAUCCCCAGUACCUCUG